CCUGGGCUACACACGUGCUACAAUGGAUAGUACAAAGGGUCGCGAAGCCGCGAGGUGGAGCUAAUCCCAUAAAACUAUUCUCAGUUCGGAUUGUAGGCUGCAACUCGCCUACAUGAAGCCGGAAUCGCUAGUAAUCGUGGAUCAGCAUGCCACGGUGAAUACGUUCCCGGGCCUUGUACACACCGCCCGUCACACCACGAGAGUUUGUAACACCCGAAGUCGGUAGGGUAACCUUUAUGGAGCCAGCCGCCGAAGGUGGGACAGAUAAUUGGGGUGAAGUCGUAACAAGGUAGCCGUAUCGGAAGGUGCGGCUGGAUCACCUCCUUU
rnacentral:rRNA from 1 species